GGUCUAAAUGUUCCCUUAUUUUCUCUGAUAUUGAAAAAAAGAAAACAGAUUGUGGAUGUCAAGAACCAGUGCUGAAAUGGUUAAGAAAGUAAAGCAGAAUAAAUUUCAACACAGUAAGUGUGACUUGAAUGUCUUAUUUUGAAAAGAGCAGCUGCCUCAGCCCUAUCCUGAUAGCUUCCAGCUAGUCUGGGGAGCUUGGACAAGAUAAGCCCUGCCUUGAAGGCACAAGAGAGCCUCCCAGGAGCUGCAUGCAAAACAAGGACAAGGUGAGGUGUACCCAGUGGUCCUGCCUUUAAGUCCUACACCUGUGAACCCUGAAGUACAUCCUGGUUGCAGGACACAACAGAAGUCUGAAGAAGUCUCCUUGGGUCUUGGGUGUCUCCUUCAGUUUCCAGGAGAGAAGCUGUCUUGUGCUCUGGCUUAUCCUGUUGUCUGCAUGACAGAGGGUGUGCCACUGGGCGCACCUCCCCUGCAGUGGAGGCAAUGCUAUAAUUUAAUAUACUUCAUGAUCAGCACUUUAAGAGUUUGAAUUUGCUACUUCUCCAUUAUGUAAUUACAUAAUAGUAAUAAUAACAACUAACACA